CCUACGGGUGGCAGCAGUGGGGAAUAUUGGGCAAUGGGCGCAAGCCUGACCCAGCAACGCCGCGUGAAGGAAGAAGGCCUUCGGGUUGUAAACUUCUUUUCUCAGGGACGAAGCAAGUGACGGUACCUGAGGAAUAAGCCACGGCUAACUACGUGCCAGCAGCCGCGGUAAUACGUAGGUGGCAAGCGUUAUCCGGAUUUACUGGGGGUAAAGGGAGUGUAGGCGGGCCUGUAAGUCAGAUGUGAAAUCCAUGGGCUCAACCCAUGACCUGCAUUGAAGACUGUAGGUCUUGAGUGCUAGAGAGGCAAGCGGAAUUCCUAGUGUAGCGGUGAAAUGCGUAGAUAGUAGGAGGAACACCAGUGGCGAAGGCGGUCUACUGGAUAGUAACUGACGCUGAGGCGCGAAAGCGUGGGGAGCAAACAGGAUUAGAUACCCGUGUAGUC
rnacentral:rRNA from 1 species